rnacentral:rRNA from 1 species
GACGUAGGGCGCAAGCGUUGUCCGGAUUUAUUGGGUUUAAAGGGUGCGUAGGCGGCCCUGUAAGUCAGUGCUGAAAUAUCCCAGCUUAACUGGGAGGGUGGCAUUGAUACUGCGGGGCUAGAGUACAGAUGAGGUAGGCGGAAUUGACGGUGUAGCGGUGAAAUGCUUAGAUAUCGUCAAGAACACCUAUAGCGAAGGCAGCUUACUAGGCUGUAACUGACGCUGAGGCACGAAAGUGUGGGGAUCAAACAGG